UUUAUUGUAUAUUAAAUAGGUUCUUGCUGAAUAUGAACCGCUUUUCGCAUGCUUCUUCCUAAAAAUAGGCGGAAAUACACAUUUUCCGCGUCACUUCUCCCGAGAAAAUUGGUACAUGCAUUAUGCUGUAGUGGCAACGUAACCCAUUUAGUUCCUAGAUAAGAUGCGUGGCAUGUGUAUUCCAAAAAUCACUAUAAAAGAUGCGAACUUACAACAAAAACAAGAUUCCAUUAUCUAGAACAAUUAUGACCAGGCUGCUGAUUUGCCAUGAUAAUCAGCGAAGAAAACAAGAUGUAUUAUUAAUAAUAACAACCUUUCUUCAAAGUGUCGAAAUCCUUGGCCUCACUUAUGCGAAAAAGGUGAAUUGAACAUGAUAAAGUUGGGAAGGUUUAAUUAAACUUAAGCUAAAUUACCGGAAUAACCAGGUUUGGCAUCGCACACAACCAACACAAACGCGAAGAAAAUUUCAAAAAUCAUAUUUCACUUGGAUUCGCACAACAAAAACUUUGGAAA